rnacentral:snoRNA from 1 species
GCAUGGCCUUGAAUUUGUGGAAGGAUGUGAUAUGUUGUCCUUUCAUAGUGUACUCCAUGCGACAGCAAAACAUACUCCGAACCAUUGAGUGACCUUGCUCACGUAGGUCAUGUCACUGAAGAGGGUAGCACAUUG